GGAUCCCCAAUUUGUCACCCUAUUGAUCAUCGGGGUUGAUUCAGUUGAUCUGGCAGGCAAGGUGAGUGUCCCCUUACCCCUUCCAUGUGCAUCUCUCCCAAAGCUGUGCACUCAGUCUAAGAGGGUGACCUUCCCCAGUAGAGGAGGACCGUUCUUUGGUCAAGGGGAAGAGCUGUAUUCCUCUGCUAGAUCCUCCAAACAAGCUCACAAGGUCCAUUUGUAGGAGAAAGUAGGGUAGUCAAGCUUCCAAGACCCUGGACACAUACAAAUGAGGUACCACAUGUGGCAGUCUACUUUUU
rnacentral:snRNA from 1 species